AGCGAACGCUGGCGGCAGGCCUAACACAUGCAAGUCGAACGAACUCUUCGGAGUUAGUGGCGGACGGGUGAGUAACACGUGGGAACGUGCCUUUAGGUUCGGAAUAACUCAGGGAAACUUGUGCUAAUACCGAAUGUGCCCUUCGGGGGAAAGAUUUAUCGCCUUUAGAGCGGCCCGCGUCUGAUUAGCUAGUUGGUGAGGUAACGGCUCACCAAGGCGACGAUCAGUAGCUGGUCUGAGAGGAUGACCAGCCACACUGGGACUGAGACACGGCCCAGACUCCUACGGGAGGCAGCAGUGGGAAUCUUGCGCAAUGGGCGAAAGCCUGACGCAGCCAUGCCGCGUGAAUGAUGAAGGUCUUAGGAUUGUAAAGUUCUUUCACCGGGGACGAUAAUGACGGUACCCGGAGAAGAAGCCCCGGCUAACUUCGUGCCAGCCGCCGCAGUAAGAC
rnacentral:rRNA from 1 species